UACAGAGGUCCCGGAGCGUUGUUCGGAUUCACUGGGCGUAAAGGGUGCGUAGGUGGCUUUGCAAGUCUGAUGUGAAAUCUCCGGGCUUAACCCGGAAAUGGCAUUAGAAACUGUGAGGCUUGAGGCUUGGAGGGGAACUGGAAUUCUCGGUGUAGCAGUGAAAUGCGCAGAUAUCGGGAGGAACACCCGUAGCGAAGGCGGCACUCUGGGCCGUGACUGACGCUGAGGAGCGAAAGCGUGGGGAGCAAACAGG
rnacentral:rRNA from 1 species